AUGUUGUGAGAGUUUUUUUUGUCAGAAUUUGGCCAAGCGAUGUGCUUGAGGAGAGAUCAAUGUUGAUCUCUAUGUUAUCGUGAGGGCUGGACCUCCGGAUCUUCACUAAAGGUAAUCCGAAGAGUGGAUUGCGAUGACUGAAGCUCAAUUUCUUGGUGGUGACUAUAGUGAGAAAGACAAGUUGGCAUGUGUUUCUGG